rnacentral:rRNA from 1 species
AUUGAACGCUGGCGGCAGGCCUAACACAUGCAAGUCGAGCGAGUGGCGGACGGGUGAGUAAUGUAUGGGGACUGCCCGAUAGAGGGGGAUAACUACUGGAAACGGUGGCUAAUACAGCAUACUAUCGGAUAACCCAUAUGGGAUUAGUUAGUAGGUGGGGUAAAGGCUCACCUAGGCGACGAUCACUAUCUGGUCUGAGAGGAUGACAAGCCAAACUGGGAAUGAGACACGGCCCAGACUCCUACGGAGGCAGCAGUGGGGAAUAUUGCACAAUGGGCGCAAGCCUGAUUCAGCCAUGCCGCUUGUAUGAAGAAGGCCUUAGGGUUUUAAAGUACUUUCAGCGGGGAGGCGUUACCCGCAGAAGAAGCACCGGCUAACUCCGUGCCAGCAGCCGCGGUAAUAC